rnacentral:sRNA from 1 species
UGUUUCUACCAAUAAACAGAAACUAAAAUAUAAACUAUGCUCCAAUGAACUAAUUUUCUUUUUUUUACUGCUAUUUGUCUUCUCUUUUAGAAAAUUAUUAUUAUAUGUUUAUUUGAAUUCUGUAGUUUUUUGUUUUCUAAUUUGAAUAUUAAUUCUCCUUAUCCCAAUUGUGAGAUUACCCCAGCACUUAAUUAUUUUGAUUUCUCUUUCUCUAUCCUAUGAAUUCUUGUUUUAUUUUUAUCGUUUUAAACAUAAUCUAUUGAGGGAAAGUUAAGUAAUUUUCUGUAUUCCCUAAACCUAGAGAUAUCAAAGCAGGAAAUAUCCUUCUGACAGAACCAGGCCAGGUGAAACUUGCUGACUUUGGCUCUGCUUCCAUGGCAUCACCUGCCAAUUCCUUUGUGGGAACGCCGUAUUGGAUGGCCCCAGAAGUAAUUUUAGCCAUGGAUGAAGGACAAUAUGAUGGCAAAGUAGAUGUGUGGUCUCUUGGAAUAACAUGUAUUGAACUAGCGGAAAGGAAGCCUCCUUUAUUUAAUAUGAAUGCAAUGAGUGCCUUAUAUCACAUAGCCCAAAAUGAAUCCCCUACACUACAGUCUAAUGAAUGGUCUGAUUAUUUUCGCAACUUUGUAGAUUCUUGCCUCCAGAAAAUCCCUCAAGAUCGACCUACAUCAGAGGAACUUUUAAAGCACAUAUUUGUUCUUCGGGAGCGCCCUGAAACCGUGUUAAUAGAUCUCAUUCAGAGGACAAAGGAUGCAGUAAGAGAGCUGGACAAUCUGCAGUAUCGAAAGAUGAAGAAACUCCUUUUCCAGGAGGCACAUAAUGGACCAGCAGUAGAAGCACAGGAAGAAGAAGAGGAACAAGAUCAUGGUGUUGGCCGGACAGGAACAGUUAAUAGUGUUGGAAGUAAUCAAUCCAUUCCCAGCAUGUCCAUCAGUGCCAGCAGCCAAAGCAGUAGUGUUAACAGUCUUCCAGAUGUCUCAGAUGACAAGAGUGAGCUAGACAUGAUGGAGGGAGACCACACAGUGAUGUCUAACAGUUCUGUUAUCCAUUUAAAACCAGAGGAAGAAAAUUACAGAGAAGAGGGAGAUCCUAGAACAAGAGCAUCAGAUCCACAAUCUCCACCCCAAGUAUCUCGUCACAAAUCACACUAUCGUAAUCGAGAACACUUUGCUACUAUACGGACAGCAUCACUGGUUACGAGGCAAAUGCAAGAACAUGAGCAGGACUCUGAGCUUAGAGAACAAAUGUCUGGCUAUAAGCGAAUGAGGCGACAACAUCAAAAGCAACUGAUGACUCUGGAAAAUAAGCUAAAGGCUGAGAUGGAUGAACAUCGCCUCAGAUUAGACAAAGAUCUUGAAACUCAGCGUAACAAUUUUGCUGCAGAAAUGGAGAAACUUAUCAAGAAACACCAGGCUGCUAUGGAGAAAGAGGCUAAAGUGAUGUCCAAUGAAGAGAAAAAAUUUCAGCAACAUAUUCAGGCCCAACAGAAGAAAGAACUGAAUAGUUUUCUCGAGUCCCAGAAAAGAGAGUAUAAACUUCGAAAAGAGCAGCUUAAAGAGGUACUUAUGUCAUAAAACUUUUCAAGCAAAUUUUCUGCUUAUUAAUUAUAUCCAAUGGUGACCAACUCAUAGAAGCAUUAGGAUAAAAUUAUCUUUUGUUGUUUAUGGUCACUAAAUGGGUAUUAGUUUAAAUGAUGACAUUGAUUAUAAUCAGUUACCCUUAACUGAGUUAUUUAGUUGAGUAGGAUUUAAAAUGAAUCAUUUCCUGAAAAUAUACUUUUUUAAUGUUUUUAUUUUAUAUUUAUUUAUUUUUGAGACAAAGAGUCUCGCUCUGUCACCCAGGCUCGAGUGCAGUGGCGCGCUCUCGGCUCACUUCAAGCUCCGCCUACUGGGUUCACGCCAUUCUCCUGCCUCAGCCUCCCUAGUAGCUGGGACUACAGGCGCCCACCACCACACCCGGCAAACAUUUGGUAUUUUUUUUAGUAGAGACGGGGUUUCACCAUGUUAGCCAGGAUGGUCUCGAUCUCCUGACCUUGUGAUCCGCCUGCCUCGGCCUCCCAAAGUGCUAGGAUUACAGGCAUGAGCCAUCGUGCCUGGCCUUAUGUUUUUAUUUUUUGUGUGUAUUUUUUGAGACAGUCUUAUUCUGUUCCACGGGCUGGAGUGCAGUGGCACAAUCAUAGCUCACUGCAGCUUCGACCUCCCGUGCUCAAGGAAUCCUGCUUUAGCCUUCCAAGUAGCUGGGAACACAAGCACACACCACCACUCCUGGCUGAUUUUUAAAUUUAUUUUUUGUAGAGACAGGGUCUUGCCAUGUUGCCUAGUCUGGUCUCAAACUCCUGGGCUCAAGCAGUCUGCCUACCUCGGCUUCCCAAAGUGCUGGGAUUAUAGGCAUGAGCCACCGCACCUGAUCACAUUUAUUACUUUAAAAGUAAACAAUAAUGUCUUACUUUUGGAUCAGAAGAUUAUAAUAAUUUGUUUUUAUGCCAAUUUAAAUGUAGAAUAAGGGAGAUAUUUGCUUAUCAGGUUUUUUUUAAGUAGAAUAUGCUGAUUAUUUCUUUGUGGCUACAGGGUUUCAUAUUUGUUUGCCCUUUCUUGUGCUGCCCGGCCUCCCCCCCACCCCCCGCUUUUGAGACGGAAGUCUCACUCUGUCAUACAGGCUGGAGUGCAGUGGUGUGAUCUUGGCUCACUGCAGCCUCCCCUCCCCCCAGGUUGAAAGGAUUCUCCUGCCUCAGCCCCCCCGAGUAGCUGGGAUUACAGGUGUGUGCCACCAUGCCUGGCUAAUUUGUAUAUUUUUUUUAGUAGAGACGGGGUUUCACCAUGUUAGCCAGGCUGGUUUCAAACUCCUGACCUCAGACGAUCUACCCACCUCGGCCCCCCAAAGUGCUGGGAUUACAAGAGUUAGCCACCACUCCCGGCUCCUGUGCUGCUUUUUGUUUGUUUGUUUGGUUUGGUUUGGUUUGGUUUGGUUUGGUUUGGUUUGGUUUGGUUUGGUUUGGUUUGGUUUGAGAUGGAGUCUCACUCUGUUGCCCAGGCUGGGGUGCAGUGGCAUGAUCUCGGCUCACUGCAACCUUUGCCGCCUGGGUUCAAGUGAUUCUCCUGCCUCAGCCUCUUGAGUAGCUGGCAUUACAGGCGACUGCCACCACGCCUGGCUGAUUUUUGUAUUUUUAGUAGAGAUGAGGGUUUCACCAUCUUGGCCAGGCUGGUCUUGAGCUCCUGACCUUGUGAUCCACCCGCCUCAGCCUCCCAAAGUGCUGGGACUACAGGCGUGAGCCACAACAUCCAGCCGACAACUUUUUUUUUUUCUUUUGAGACAGAGUCUUGCUCUGUCACCCAGGCUGGAGUGCAGUGGCGCGAUCUCGGCUCACUGCAAGCUCUGCCUCCCAGGUUCACACCAUUCUCCUGCCUCCGGCUCCCGAGUAGCUGGGACUACAGGGACCCACCACCACGCCCGGCUAAUUUUUUGUAUUUUUGGUAGAGACUGGAUUUCACCAUGUUAGCCAGGAUGGUCUCAAUCUCCUGACCUCAUGAUCUGCUCGCCUUGGCCUCCCAAAGUGCUGGGAUUACAGGCGUGACCCACCAUGCCUGGCCCGACAACUUCUUAAAGAGGAUCAUUAUUCAAGAUAGUCACUAGGACAGAAAAAUGAUAUGUCUUUUAAUUUAUCCACCCCCCCGUCUUAUAGGAUGAUUGAAAUUUUUAGUUCAUAUAAUUAAUUAGCAUACUAUGAUACAUCGAUUGAUUUUGAUAAAAUAAGUAUAAUCAAUUUGAUAUUAAUGAUUUUUGUAUGUGUAGGAAUUUGCCUUAUAAUCAGAUACGUAUGUCUUGUUGUGUACAUAUUGGUGGCACAAAGACUUGCUCUAUAUCUUGCCAAGUGAGCUUCACUGACAAGAUUUUUACAACUCUAAAUGGUAUAAUUUGCAGUAUACUCCCAUGACUAUAAUUCGAAAGCCAAACUCUACUGGAAGUUUGAGUUUGAAACAAUAGUAAAUAGAGUUUCCAACUAUAAAUAAAUCUCCAACAAAAUGCAGUUGUUUUGUUUUCCAGUGAAAUCAGACUUUAGCUUUAUGGAUUAGUUUGUUUAGAUAAUCCUUUAGGCAUAUACCAUAUAGUCAAACAAAUAAAUGCAUUUUCUUUUAGAAGCUAAGUUGUUGUGUAUGUAUUUGUGUUCAUUUAGAAUAAUGAUUCUCAGUAGAGAGGAAGGGACAUAUCAGAGUCUUGGAGGGGAGAGUUCCCUGGCAGAAGAUUUUGAAAAAGAUACCCAGGUAUGGCCAGGCGCGGUGGCUCACCCCUGUAAUCCCAGCACUUUGGGAGGCCGAGGCGGGCAAAUCACAAGGUCGGGAGUUUGAGACUAGCCUGCCCAAUAUGGUGAAACACUGUCUCUACUAAAAAUACAAAAAAAUUAGCCGGGCGUGGUGGCACAUACUUAUAAUCCCAGCUACUCAGGAGGCUGAGGCAGGAGAAUUGCUUGAACCCGGGAGGCAGAGGUUGCAGUGAGCCGAGAUCAUGCCACUGCACUCCAGCCUGGGUGACAGAGUGAGACUCCAUCUCAAAAAAUAAAUUAAAAAAAUAAAAAGUAAAAAAAUUAGCCAAGCAUGGUGGCACACAACUGUCAUGCCAGCUACACAAGAGGGUGAGGCAGGAGAAUCCCUGUAACUUGGAAGGUGGAGGUUGCAGUGAGCUGGGCCACUGCACUGCAGCCUGAGCGACAGAGCUAGACUCUGCCUCGAAAAAGAAAAAGAUAACCAGGUAUAUAGUCUACUUGUGUGCCCAUGUUAUUCCUUUCUCUUCCCAUAGCGUGCAUACACAUAAACUCUUAAGUAAUAAUUUAUGUGCUUUUUAUUUUUAUGUGUUUGAAUAUUUUAUUAACUAAAGGGAAAGACCAUGAAUGAGGUCUAGUAGUCUCUGAAAAAUGAUCCUAUACUAAGAAAAAUGAGCUAUUUAUAUUCUAAACAAUGUUGAUGGUGUUUUGUUUUGCUUUUUUUGAGACAGGGUUUCGCUCUGUCACCCAUGCUGGAGUGCAGUGGCACAACACUGCUCACUGCAGCCUUGACCUCCCAGGCUGAAGCAGUUUUCCCACCUCACCCUCCCAAGUAGUUGGGACCACAGACGCAUACCACCAUGCCCAGCUAAUUUUAUAAUUUAUUUUUUGUAGAAACAGUGUUGCCAUAUUCUCCAAACUGGUCUCAAACUCCUGGGCUCAAGCAAUCCUCCGGCCUUGGCGUCCCAAAAUGCUGGGAUUACAGAUGGAUGUGAGCCACCAUGCCUGGCCACAGAAUGCUAAUACUAGUAUAUAUUUUACCAAAAGAGUAUCAAGGCCAGAGUGGUGGGUGGCACAUGCUUAUAACAGCACUUUGGGAGGCUGAGGUGGGAGGAUCGCUUGAGCCCAGGAGUUCAAGACCAGCCUGGGCAACAUGUUGAGACCCUGUGUCUAGCAAAAAAAAAAAAAAAAAAAAUUCAUUAGCCAGGCAUGGUGGGACACACCUGUGGUCCUAGCUACUCGGUAGUCUUAGGUGGGAAGAUCACUUGAACCUGGGAGGUCCAUGCUGCAGGGAGCUGAAUUCGUGCCAGUGCAUUCCAGCCUGGGUCACAGAGUGAAAUUCGAUCU